CGCGGAGUGGAGCAGUUGGCAGCUCGUCGGGCUCAUAACCCGAAGGUCGUAGGUUCAAGUCCUGCCUCCGCA
rnacentral:tRNA from 2 species